CAGCCGCCGCGGGAAUACAGAGGGUGCGAGCGUUAAUCGGAUUUACUGGGCGUAAAGCGUGCGUAGGCGGCUUCUUAAGUCGGAUGUGAAAUCCCUGAGCUUAACUUAGGAAUUGCAUUCGAUACUGGGAAGCUAGAGUAUGGGAGAGGAUGGUAGAAUUCCAGGUGUAGCGGUGAAAUGCGUAGAGAUCUGGAGGAAUACCGAUGGCGAAGGCAGCCAUCUGGCCUAAUACUGACGCUGAGGUACGAAAGCGUGGGGAGCAAACAGGAUUAGAUACCCCAGUAGUUCCUGUCUCUUAUAC
rnacentral:rRNA from 1 species